AGGACGAACGCUGGCGGCGUGCUUAACACAUGCAAGUCGAACGAGGUCCAACCUUCGGGUGAAGACCUAGUGGCGAACGGGUGCGUAACACGUGAGGAACUUGUCCCGGUCUCUGGGAUAACAGUUGGAAACGACUGCUAAUACCGGAUGACGUCGGAGCGUCGCAUGGCGCGCUGACGAAAGGGUUACUGGAUCGGGGAGAGCCUCGCGGCCUAUCAGCUUGUUGGUGGGGUAACGGCCUACCAAGGCAUCGACGGGUAGCUGGUCUGAGAGGAUGAUCAGCCACACUGGGACUGAGACACGGCCCAGACUCCUACGGGAGGCAGCAGUGGGGAAUCUUGCGCAAAUGGGCGAAAGCCUGACGCAGCAACGCCGCGUGCGGGAAGAAGGCUCUCGGGUUGUAAACCGCUUUCAGAAGGAACGAAACUGACGGUACUUUCAGAAGAAGGUGCGGCCAACUACGUGCCAGCAGCCGCGGUAA
rnacentral:rRNA from 1 species